rnacentral:lncRNA from 1 species
GCUGCGGGGGCCAUUGAUACAGAGGCUUGCUGCGCUCGGUGUGCGCGGCCCGGCCGGGCCUCUGGAAACGCCCAUGAGAAAUGAGCUCAUGCUGGAUGCGCGCGCUCCUUGGGCGCAACUGCCCAGCGCAAAACGGGCCCCGAAAGCAGGGUCUCACUUUGUCCUCCAGGAUGGAGUGCUGCGGCCUCAACCUCCUGGGUUCAAGGGAUCCUGCUGCCUCAGCCCCCCAAGUAGCUAGGACUACAAGGGUGCACCACCACACCCAGCUAAUUUUUGUAUUUUUUGUAUAAAUGGGGUUUCGCCAUGUUGCCCAGACUGGUCUCAAACUCCUGGGCUCAAAAUCUGCGUGCCAUGGCUUCUCAAAACGCUAGGAUUACUGGCGUGAGUCACCAUGCCUGGCCUAUAAUUUGUUAAUAUGGUUGUUACUACAAAGUUUAAAAUAAAUUGCCCAUGCAUUCCUAUUUAUAAUAGGUGAGUGGAGGACACUUCAAUCUAAAGUGAUCUUAAAGGAGGAGUAGUAGGAUUUGAAGAUGAAGAAAGAAGAG